AAGUGCUGCGAUUACAGGCGUGAGCCACCAUGCCCGGCCUGUAACUUCCCCUAUUUUACACAGCCAGUGAGUGGCACUAAGUUUGACAGAGUUUGGUUCCAGAAUCCAUGCUCUGAAUGACAACACUUAGUCUCCAGGAACCUACAGAAAGUGCAAGGCUUAAUUCAAAACUUUGGUUUUCCCCACUCUAUAAUCCCUACGUGGCAAGCCUACGUCUCUCGCCUAGAAGGCAUUCUUUGAGAUCCUCUAACAGUUCGUACUCCUCUCUUGUGUUGUCUGAACACUCUCCCACAUUACUAUUAUUAUUAUUGUUGUUGUUGUUGUUGUUUUGACACAGAGUUUUGCUCUUGUUGCUCAGGCUGGAGUGCAAUGGCGCGGUCUUGGCUCACCGCAACCUCCGCCUCCCGGGUUCAAGCGAUUCUCCUGCCUCAGCCUUCUGAGUAGCUGAGAUUACAGGCGCCCACAACUAUGCUCGGCUGAUUUUUGUAUUUUUAUUAGAGACGAGGUUUCACCAUGUUGACCAGGCUGGUCCCAAACUCCUGACCUCAGGUGAUCGGCCCACCUCGGCCUUCUAAAGUGCCGGGACUACAGGCAUGAGCCACCGCGCCCGGCCUACACCCCUGUUUUUUAAGCCUUUUGCUCUCAGCUUAAAUAUCACUAAAUUACAAACUCUAAUGACACCGCGGUAUUUCUCAGUGCACAACACCAAAUUUUAAUUAUGUAUCUCAUGGAUAAUUAUUUCCUGUCAGUCUUUCCCAACUAAACCGUGAGUUCCAGUAUGUCUGGCAGCACGUGAAGGAAGACUCCCUCUGUCUAGUGGCCAUGGGCGUGGAGGUUCCGGGGAGCUGUGUCCGCCAGACAUGGAAGUGGGGUCGACGGGCGGUAGGGGACGGCGCUAGUCACAGGCAGAAAGCAGGAGAGGAAAGUAGGGCUCCACCUGGCUCAGCUGGCGCGGCUCAGUGACACCCCGGAGGCCGGCUGCCCCAGCAGCCUCU
rnacentral:lncRNA from 10 species